rnacentral:lncRNA from 1 species
UUUUCAUGUUUGCAGCCAGUAGCGUGGCUGUCACUGUUAUCGGUGCUGGGGCUGGGAGAUUGUACCCGGGGCCGUGCCCCUGCUGGGCGUGCAGCCCAACACAGAGCUGAACCCCGCCCUCCCAUUCUUCAUCCUGAGACCCGGUCUCUCCAACCUGCCCGGGCGGCACUUGAACUAGUGACCUUCCUGCUUCAGCCUCCCAAGCAGCUGGGUUACAGCACCCGGGACCAUUGUGGCAGCGCACAUCGCCAGUUCAUAGCUGGGUCCACACCAGCCCUGUCCGCCCCCCCCCGAGUGAUGGCCGUGGGUGUGCCCUUCUGACCCC